GUACAGACAAGCACCCGCAGUCAGGAUCGAAGCUGUGUCUCUGGCGCUGAAAGGCAGCAUCUUUACCACUACGCCACCUUGCUGCCCAGGCAGGGAAAAACGCUUCUGAUUGUCCUGAACUGUCAUCUACCUCAUUGGUGACCCUCAGACUAU